rnacentral:rRNA from 1 species
GACGAACGCUGGCGGCGUGCCUAACACAUGCAAGUCGAGCGGGGAACGGAUGGUAGCUUGCUACUGUUUGUUUCUAGCGGCGGACGGGUGAGUAACGCGUGAGCAACCUGCCUUUAUCAGAGGGAUAACGCAUCGAAAGAUGUGCUAAUACCGCGUAAGACCACAGCUUCACAUGGAGCGGGGGUCAAAGGAGCAAUCCGGAUAAAGAUGGGCUCGCGUCCGAUUAGCUAGUUGGUGAGAUAACAGCCCACCAAGGCGACGAUCGGUAGCCGACCUGAGAGGGUGAUCGGCCACAUUGGAACUGAGAGACGGUCCAGACUCCUACGGGAGGCAGCAGUGGGGAAUAUUGGGCAAUGGGCGAAAGCCUGACCCAGCAACGCCGCGUGAGGGAAGAAGGGUUUCGGCUCGUAAACCUCUGUCCUAUGGGACGAAGGAAGUGACGGUACCAUAGGAGGAAGCCCCGGCUA